GAUGAACGCUGGCGGCGUGCCUAACACAUGCAAGUCGAGCGAAAAGACGAGGAGUUUGCUCCACUGACGUUAGCGGCGGACGGGUGCGUAACACAUGGAUACCCUACCUAGAAGAAUGGGAUCACAUCGCGGAACAGGACCUGAUACCGGGACAUAUAUCGAAACGCGGGUUUCCAGAGAAGAAGGCGGGUUUGCUGUCCCUUAUAGAUGGAUCCGCGCCGCAUUAGCUAGUUGGGAAGGUAACGGAUUACCAAGCCAUCGAGGCGUGGGCGACCGGAGGGGGUGAUCGCCCACACUGGAACGGAGACACGGUCCAGACUCCUACGGGAGGAAGCAGUAGGGAAUCUUCCGCAAUGGGCGAAGGCCUGACGGAGCAACGCCGCGGGAGUGAUGAAGGUCUUCGGAUCGUAAACCUCUGUGAUUAGGGAAGAACAAAUUUGUAAGCAACUAUGCACGUCUUGACGGUACCUAAACAGAAAGCAACGGCUAACUACGUG
rnacentral:rRNA from 1 species